ensembl:lncRNA
UUUUUUUUUUUCCUCUCUUUUUUUUUUUCCUCUUUUUUUCUCUUUUUUUUUUUUUGCACAAAACAGGACAUUUAUUCAAGUGUUCUCCAGCACAAGUACAUUAGAAAGGAGCUCGUCUGUAUUAUACUCUUCUGGGCACCAAAGAAAAAAAAGAAAAGGAGGAUGGGAUGGAAGCGGGACGGACAGACUUUCUACAUCUGCUGCACGCAUUGACCUUUAUUAGUUCAGAACAGCUAUGUCACGAGCAAUACUCACACAGAUACAACAGCGCCGGGCGCCCGCGGCACCUCCGGCCGUGAAAUGCACAGUUCAGCGGCAAUAAAUAGAGAAGCGACCCUAAAAAAACAAACCAACAAAAAAACAGGGGCAACGAACCGAGAGAGAAUAGAAAAUAAACCGGGGUGGGGGGAGAAGGGCAGGCAGAGCAGCCGGGGCGGCCGCGGCGGCGCCGGGAAUGUGGCGGCGGAGCCAAAUCAAAGGGAGGAGGAAGAGGAGGAGGAAGAGGAAGGGAGGGAGGAAGGAGGGUACCAGCUCUACAGCGUAUUCCUCGGGAUGAUGAGUACAUGAUUCCCACAAAUAGUUAAGCGUCAGCUACUUCAAUGUCUAGGCUAAAACACAUGAAAUCUCUCAUUUAGUUUUCAAGUACAAAGUUAAAAUGCCUUUUUCUUUUUUGUUUUUUUUUUUUAAUAAUAAUAUAUAAGAGUAAAAUAAUAGUGCUCUUUGAAACUCCACUACGAGAAACAAAACAGUCAUUGUCCAGACAGCAGACUUAAUUUAACAAUAUAUAUUUUUAAUAAAAUGUUUUAGCACCGUGUUUGUCCCCACUCCCUCGGCGGAUCUUAAGGAAUUCAGGCCUUGCUGUGUUGUUUUGAGUUUUCAUCUAGGGCUGUGCAACAGAAUUUGUCUGGUUGGUUUUGUUUAAAAAAAGACGUGAGUCGGGUACUUUGUUAAAAACUGAACUCUCGCCCCAGGCAUCCCCACGGUCCCACCGCCGCCGGCACAGGAACCCGCUUCCCACGGCGCCGGUACCGGUCCGGAACCGGCACGGAACCGGCACCGGAACUGGCAUCAGAACUGGCACAGAACCGGUACUGGCACCAGCACCAGAACCAGCACAGAACCAGUACAGGUACUGGCACCAGAACCAGUACCGGAACUGGCACAGAACUGGUACUGGCACCAGAACUGGAACAGACCUGGCACUGGAACCGUCACAGAACCGGCACCAGAACUGGCCCAGGUACAGGCACCAGUACUGCCGCAGAACCGGUACUGGCACCAGAACCGGCACUGGUACCAGAACUGGCACCAGAGCCGGUGCCAGAACUGGCACUGGCACCGGCACAGAACCGGCACCAGCACCAGCACCGAACCAGCACCAGAACUGGCACGAGAACCUGCACCAGUACUGGCACCGGCACCGGCUGCGCCAACGCUGCAGCACCUGCUGGGACCCAGCCCCCAAAGGUGCAGCAGGGCCAGGGGCUCCCAGGAGGAGCUGCAGGGCUGAGCUGAGCCGGGCCGGCCCCGGGGGUCCCUGGGACCCCCAAACCCAGCGCGGGGCCGUGCAGAACCUGCAGCACCCAGAGCACUGGGCAGCACCGGCACCCGGAGCUGCAGGACCGCGCAGGGUCAGCGCCCAGUGCCACAGAGCCGUGCAGGGUCAGCACCCAGUGCCACAGAGCCGUGCAGGACCUGCCAACAAUGUCGCAGGGCCGUGCAGGACCAGCACCCAGCACCUCAAGGCCAUGCAGGAUCAGCACCCAGUGCCACAGGGCCGUGCAGGCCCUGCAUUUGCCACGGCGAGGCCACGCAGGGCCUGCAGUCAGCGCUGCAGGGCCAUGCAGCACCAGCACCCAGGUCUGUGGGACUGUGCAGGACCCACAGGCAGCACCAUGGAUCCAUGCAGGACCCACAGCCAGGGGCACAGAGCCAUGCAGGACCUGCAGCAGUGCUGCAGGGCCAUGCAGGACCCGCAGUGCCCACUGUGCCCCACACAGGACGCCCGGGGCCAUGCCAGCCCCACACACGGGCUCAUGGGCUCAGACAGCAGCAGGCAGGCAGGACCCGUGCCCGGUGCAGCGGUCCUGUGCCAGGCUGUGCCAUGCUGUGCCACCCGGCCCCGGUGCGAGCAGGAGCCCGGUGCCCUCUGCCUGCCACCCUCAGUCCCCGGCACAGCCAGGCCCCGCGGUGCCCCCGCCGCGGCCGCCUGUGCCAGCUCAGCUCCCCGUGCCCCCCGCACGCAGAGGGGCCCCCAGCCCCCAGUAGCACCAGCAGGGAGGGGAGCCGGGGCCCCUCGCCGCCGUCGGUCCCAGCACCUCGGGGGCUCGGGCCGCGGCUCGCUGCCAUUAGCCAGCACCCCGCAGCGAGCGCGGCCCCGGGCCCGCACCUUUCACAGUUAG